AAUCAACGCUGACGGCGUGCCUAACACAUGCAAGUCGAACGCGAAAGCCCCGCAAGGGGUAAGUAGAGUGGCAAACGGGUGAGUAACGCGUGGGUGACCUGCCUCCGAGCGGGGGAUAACGUCCCGAAAGGGACGCUAAUACCGCAUAACAUCCUGCUUUUUAACAAGCGGAGAUCAAAGCUGGGGAUCGCAAGACCUAGCACUCGAAGAGGGGCCCGCGUCUGAUUAGCUAGUGGUGGGGUAACGGCUCACCAAGGCGACGAUCAGUAUCCGGCCUGAGAGGGCGGACGGACACACUGGGACUGAGACACGGCCCAGACUCCUACGGGAGGCAGCAGUGGGGAAUUGUUCGCAAUGGGCGCAAGCCUGACGACGCAACGCCGCGUGGAGGAUGAAGACCU
rnacentral:rRNA from 1 species